CUUGUACUCCCUCCGUCCAAAAAAGCUUGUCCCUCAAAUGGAUGUAUCUAGCACUAACUACAUACAUCCAUUUGAGGGACAAGCUUUUUCGGACGGAGGGAGCAGAUU
rfam:Triticum urartu cultivar G1812 contig874346, whole genome shotgun sequence.